rnacentral:lncRNA from 1 species
AAAAGCAGAGUAGUCCCACGAGUUUGACCUAGAAACAUCUCUAAAGUCAGACAUGUUGAGAAGUCUUGUCCCACGUCGAGUAGCGAAGAAGAUCUCUUGCUCGUAAGCCUUAUCUCCUUCUGCUAAUAGCCGUUGGAUCAGAAUCAAGGUUUUGAGAGCGACGGUCCAGCAUUUGGUUUUGUUGAGGCGUCUAGAAAGCGUGUUGACGCAUGCGUUGAUGUAGUUGCGUGAGUAAGAAGUUAGGCUAAGAAUCUCUCUUAUGUAUUUCUCUUCUGCUGGAUACUCUUCGUGACGAGUAGCUUUGACGAUGGCUACGUCAAGCUCUGAUAGAGAAGAGCUUCGGCCGUUGACUUUGGCUAGACCGGCGCUGGUUUGGUCCUUCACGGCUCCUAUGGCUCGUUUAAGUUUACUCGAACCCAUUUUUUUACGAUUUAUUAAAAUGUAUAUAAGAAAAGAAAAUUAGAAAACGUAAAGAUAAAGACAAAAAGAUAUGAAGAGAGAAAAGGGGAAGAGAACGAGGGUUGCUUUGUUAUGUGCUCACACAGCUACAGUCACAUGUCUACGUGUAAGUCAACCGUACAUGAUGAUUGCAAGUGGGUCAGAUGAUUGCACAGUUAUAAUAUGGGAUCUCAGUUCGAUGAGUUUUGUGAGGCAGCUUCCUGACUUCCCAGUUCCCAUUUCAGCAAUCUACAUAAAUGACCUUACCGGGGAGAUUGUAACUGCGGCUGGAACUGCCCUUGCGGUUUGGAGCAUCAAUGGCGACUGCCUUGCUGUGGCUAACACAUCGCAGUUACCAUCUGAUUCAGUAUUAUCUGUAACAGGUUCCACGUCUUCUGACUGGCUUGAAACAGCAUGGUAUGUAACUGGUCAUCAGAGUGGAGCAAUUAAAAUAUGGCGGAUGAUACAUUGCACUGAUCCGUUGAGUGCCGAGAGCAAAACAAGUAGUAGCAACAGAAACGGAGGGCUGAAUUUGGGUGAUCAAGUGCCAGAGUACAAGUUGAUUCUGCAUAAGGUGCUGAAAUUCCAUAAACAACCGGUCACCGCUCUCUAUCUCCCGGGCGACCUGAAGCAGUUACUGAGCGGCGAUUCAGCUGGACAAUUGCUUUCAUGGACAUUGCCAGAUGAGACAUUAAGAGCUUCGUUGAAACAAGCUUCGUUGAAAUAAGCUUCACUGAAACAGGCGUCAUAGGUUUAGGAUGUAAAGCUGAGACCAGUCAUUCCCCUUUGGUUUCUUUGGUUAGAACCGAGAGAGAGAGCUGGCGAAGGGACUUGAAGACAGGACCAAAUAGUAGGAAGAAGACCAAAGUCUGAACAAAGUGCUGGCUCUGUUGCAUAAAUGGCUUGCAGGUUAAAGAGAAAAAGAGCAAGGUGAGCCAGUCUGGCUUCUGAUUGCUGGUGAGUUUUCAGAAUUAGGAAGGAGAUGGAAGAUGAGGUUUGGUUUGAGAAUUUGUGUAAAUAGAUUUCUUCUUGAAAAAUCAUUGCAAAUAGCAGAAGGCUGGGCAUAUUUGUAUUCACAGCCCCAUGUGUAUUUUGUCAGAUGCUGUUCUUGUAUUGUUUUAAUAGUUUGUGACCUUUUGUAUUCUUCAUCGUUUGCCUCAAUGUCAAUGGUAUUGUUUUCUGUUCUUGGUUUUAAAGAAAGAGUGAGAGAGAUGGGAAAGUAAAAUCAUUCUGAUAAAGAAGAGAUGGUUUCAAGUUUUCUUGGGUUAUUACCAAGUUUGGUUAAUAUGUGUGGCUCUGUCUUUAAUUAUAUUAUAUUACGUAAAACUAAAAUUACCUUAAAAGAGGAAGAAAAACAAUUGUAUAAUAUUACGAAGUUUUUGGUUAAUAUGUGCAACUGUUUGAAAUUCGCAACUAAACCAUUCAGAACAAGAGCUUCAAGAGAUGGCUACAAUGCCAGCCAAUCAUCCAUCAUCUUUGGUCGUGGAUUCUUGAACUGUGUUUGUGCUUCCUUCUUGGCCACAUUUGAGUUAUCUGGAUUACAUACAUGCUCAGGAUGAUGCCGAGAGAUACGAGGAGUUGUUGAUGCCUUCAAGUCAUAUUAAAUACAGUAUUUAAGUUUAUCUUGUAAAGUUACAUCAGAGAUUACAAUUACAGAAGCAAACCUCUUAUAUGCCCCCCUCCCCAAUGAAUCUGACCCAAGAACAGAAGAAAUGUUUGAAUUUGCAAAAAGAAUAAACCCCAAAAAAAAAAGCUGACACAACUAAAGAACUCCUUCCAUGAUGCAGAAUCAAUAUUGAGGUGUGUAGGAGUAACUAGGUUUGUUUUGGUUUUGGCUUAAAUUCAUGUGUCCUUGUCUUCCUUCUCUUGAGUAUUGAUCCCACAUCAUCUGCUCUUCCAUCAACUUUCUCUGUUUCUUCUCCAUGUCAUUCAUCUGCACAUACGCUGGCGGCGCAACCUCCAAGGACGCAGCAAAUGGAUCCAUCGGUACAGUGCCAUUGCUGUUUCCAUUAGCCGUUGCUGGUGCUGGAAGUGCCAGCAUGGUUGCUAUAAUUGUUACAAAACUCAUGUCAAAAAAUUAGUAUAAUAUGCAAACAAAGACAUAUCAAAGUAACGUUUCUUUUAAAACCUGCUGGUCUUCCUGCAGAACCAAAUGCCAUACUGCUUGCACUUCCGCUAGCUCCAUAAGCCGUGGAGGUUUGCACAGCAGCGUUCACAGUGCCGUGCUGAUACAUUCCGUUGAGAAGCAACAUAUCAAAGCCUCCUCCGAGUUCCGUCUUUUGUCCUGAUAAUUUUGUAGCGGUUUGCACCAAAGCUGUCUCCCAAUCUGCUCCAUCAUCAUUAAACGCUUCCCAUCCAGGACCGGUCUCUGCACCCGAACCGCUCGCGUAAGGGCCAUCGAAUAAAGCCAAUGCUAAGCUAUCUCCAGCUUCUAAAGCUUCAUUACCGUUUAUAUCCACAAGAUCCAGCAAAUCACCAACUUCUUCUUGCUUCUUCUCUAUUAUCACUUCCUCCUCGGGUUGUUCUUCUUCCUCUUCCUCUUCUUUUGGUGGAGGUGCAGGUAAGGCCUUGAUAGCAUUCAUAUCUUCUUCCUCCUCGUUCACUUCCUCUGCUCUCUCAUCAUCAUCCUCUUCAACAGACUGUGAUUCCUUGGUCUGGUCUAAAGUGGAUUUGUCUUUUAUAAACUCAUCCAUGAGAUCAAGCUUCUUCUGUGUGAUCUUCUCUAUCUCAGGGUACUCUGAAGACCUAGCGAUCCCCAUGUUCUUACACCAGGAAUAGAACUGAUCUAGCUCUUCAAACUGUUUAGAGACGCGGCAGAAAAUGUCAUAGACCUUGAUCGAAUCAGGUAUGUCUAACUCCAUGAACCGUUCGAUUAAAACCCCCAUUAUCUCAGUUAUAUCGUAAUAUAUCUGGAAGCUCUCCUUCACUAUAGGAUACAGAGCCACAAUCACAACUCUGUUGUUCCUCGCGCCACCUGUUUUAAAAAGUGAUAACUUGUUAUCCAAGAAACAACGAAGAUAGCGACAAAAGAAAACUGCGGUUUUGAACCGAACCGAACCAAAAAUUUUGGUUAGUUUGGUUUGGUCGUUACAAAUAAAGUUCAAUUCGGCAUGUUUGUGAAAAAACUUAGGUUUUCAGUUAAUUUGAUUUUCCAAAAGAAAAAAAAAAGUAACUAAGUUUCCAAUGAACUAAUAGAAUUAACAAAAAUUCAAAUCAAAACAAUCAAACUAACCGAAAUUACCGAAUUUAAACAAAAAUACCAAAUUUUAACUGAAAUAUAAUCGAAACCAAAAACUUCGGGUUAGUUUAAAUAAAAAAAAGUUAAAAACAGAACUACCCAAAUACCGAACCGAACAAAUUUUUCUGGUUCAAUUCAUUGAGAUUUUGGCCAAACCGAACCACCCGAACCUCAAGCCUAUGGAUGUGGUACCUGUUGGACGACAAGCCAAGAAACGGUCAAGAAGCUGCUGCAAAUGCUGUACUCUGGUGAAAAUCUUCUCUGUUUUCAUCUCUGCGAUGGGUUGUGACCUAACCACUAUAGCCGUGGAGAGAUCAGCCUCAUGCUUAUCUUUCUCAUCUUCCACCGCAUCUCCUCCUCCAACGCAGUAAACCCCACGUUUCCCGUGCCUCGUUUGCAUCCUAAAAUCAAGCCUUUCGUCGAGGUACAAUGCAUACGUCCUUACAAAAGCAGAGUAGUCCCACGAGUUUGACCUAGAAACAUCUCUAAAGUCAGACAUGUUGAGAAGUCUUGUCCCACGUCGAGUAGCGAAGAAGAUCUCUUGCUCGUAAGCCUUAUCUCCUUCUGCUAAUAGCCGUUGGAUCAGAAUCAAGGUUUUGAGAGCGACGGUCCAGCAUUUGGUUUUGUUGAGGCGUCUAGAAAGCGUGUUGACGCAUGCGUUGAUGUAGUUGCGUGAGUAAGAAGUUAGGCUAAGAAUCUCUCUUAUGUAUUUCUCUUCUGCUGGAUACUCUUCGUGACGAGU